ensembl:lncRNA
UUAAAAUGCGUGUUAUACCAGCCUGAGUGUGGGAUCAGGAGUUGAGAACACGGACAUGUCUGCUGUGACUGCGUGGCGCUGCUCCACUUUGCUGUCUGUUGGACUCUCUGCAGAGCAGGAAACCAUCACAGCCAAAGCUGGACAGAACAUCGUUCUGUCAUGUUGAGCUCCAGACAGCAGCAUCAGAGUUGUAGAGUGGAGCAGAGCUGACCUGGAGCCAGAACAUGUCCUUGUUUACCGGGAUGAGCAGUUUGAUCUAGAAGACCAGCAUCCAUCUUUUAAGAACCGGGUGGAUCUGCAGGACAGACAGAUGAAGGAUGGAGACGUGUCUCUGAUUCUGAAGGAUGUGACGACUAAUGAUGAAGGAGCAUACGUGUGUUGUGUCAGCGUGGAAGAAAAACACUCAUGGAAUCUCAUCAGCGUCAUCCACCUUCAUGUUGUUCCUCCAGCUCAGACAGGAGGAGACACAGAGGAUGGAUUAUAUGAACUGACAUGUGGACUGGGAGUUGCUCUGUCACUUUGUCUUGUGAUUGCUGUUGUUGGGUUUUGCACAUACAAAUGUCGACUGUCCCAAAACACUACUCCACCUCGUCAGACUCCACAGCAGAACUAUGAGUUGGAUGAUCUGAGGACAGGCUGUAGAUUAGAAACAUCCAGAGUUUGAUUAUCUUUAUCAUUUCUCUGAUAUCAUGUUGACACUCA